rnacentral:misc_RNA from 1 species
UAUGACACUUCUGAAAUUGGACUGGAAAAAGAAACAGAGCAUUAGGUAUUGUAAUACCAUUUCACAGUCUCCUCAAACAUAUAAAGAAUUCUUUAUCAAGUUUAUUAUUAUUAAUCUAACACAUUUUAUUAUAUGCUUUAACUAAGCUAAAGAUAAGAAGAGUUUGCUUACUAAUGCAAUAUAUUACAACUCACCAUCUUGUACUAUAUUAUCAUAUGCUUUACACCAAAUGCGUACGGAGGUCUUGUGCUACAUCAAAAUGUGCAUUUGGGCCCUCAAAG